UACCGAAAGAUAUUCUUAAAGGGCACUACUUGACCUUCCAAACUAAUAUCUCCUUCCUCAUAUGUAGUAGUGCUGGAGUUAUAUCUCAUAGAUUUGGUUUUAGUUGUACUGAGUUUAAAACCUUUAGGCUCUAGAAUCUCCCGCCACAACUCUAGUUUCCUAUUUACUUUUGCCAGGAUUUUAUCAACUAACAUUACAUCGUCUAAAAAAACAUACACCAAGAGAUAUCUCGUUAUAUGUCCCUUAUGACCUCAUCUAUCGCCAAGGAAAAAAAUAAGGGCUUAAAUCUGAUCCUUAAUAUAGUACUAUUAUAAUUGGAAAGUUUUCUGUGUAUCUGUCACUUGUUCGAAUACUAGUCAUACAUUAUUGUUGAACAUGUCUUUAGUAAGUCUGAUGUACUUUGUUGAAAUUUUAAGUUUGUCUAAAAUCCAACCCAUAAUAUUUUUUAGUAUUUUAUCAUAAAUCUUCUCAAGCAUGUAUUGCACAGUACACGAAUAUGAUCUCCAAGUAGGACAAUCCAAUCUAGCCUGAUCAUGCACGUUCAAUGCCCAUGAAUGGAACAAAGCGCAGGGAUGAGAAGUGUAAUACAUGCUGAAACUAUGAAAAUAAUAAAGAAUACUGGAUCCAUGCCCAGGUUCAAAACAAACUAUGAGAUACAAAACAUAGUAAAGACAAAAUUAUAGCGAUGAAAAGUGUUAAGGUGUGAAAUACACUUAAUGUAGCCAUUCGCCUACCUUCCCUUCACGCAAAGCACCUAUAGCCUGGUCGAUCGAGGAGAAC
rnacentral:lncRNA from 1 species